UACGGAGGGUGCAAGCGUUAUCCGGAUUCACUGGGUUUAAAGGGUGCGUAGGCGGGUUGGUAAGUCCGUGGUGAAAUCUCCGAGCUUAACUCGGAAACUGCCGUGGAUACUAUCAAUCUUGAAUAUCGUGGAGGUAAGCGGAAUAUGUCAUGUAGCGGUGAAAUGCUUAGAUAUGACAUAGAACACCAAUUGCGUAGGCAGCUUACUACACGAUCAUUGACGCUGAGGCACGAAAGCGUGGGGAGUAAACAGG
rnacentral:rRNA from 1 species